rnacentral:rRNA from 1 species
GCUGGAAAGCUUGGCGAUACAGGGUGAUAGCCCCGUAACCGACGCUUCAUCGAGCGUGAAAUCGAGUAGGGCGGGACACGUGAUAUCCUGUCUGAAUAUGGGGGGACCAUCCUCCAAGGCUAAAUACUCCUGACUGACCGAUAGUGAACCAGUACCGUGAGGGAAAGGCGAAAAGAACCCCUGUGAGGGGAGUGAAAUAGAACCUGAAACCGUGUACGUACAAGCAGUAGGAGCACCUUCGUGGUGUGACUGCGUACCUUUUGUAUAAUGGGUCAGCGACUUAUAUUCAGUGGCAAGGUUAACCGUAUAGGGGAGCCGUAGCGAAAGCGAGUCUUAACUGGGCGCUCAGUCUCUGGAUAUAGACCCGAAACCGGGUGAUCUAGCCAUGGGCAGGUUGAAGGUUGAGUAACAUCAACUGGAGGACCGAACCGACUAAUGUUGAAAAAUUAGCGGAUGACUUGUGGCUAGGGGUGAAAGGCCAAUCAAACUCGGAGAUAGCUGGUUCUCCCCGAAAGCUAUUUAGGUAGCGCCUCGGACGAAUACUACUGGGGGUAGAGCACUGUUAAGGCUAGGGGGUCAUCCCGACUUACCAACCCUUUGCAAACUCCGAAUACCAGUAAGUACUAUCCGGGAGACACACGGCGGGUGCUAACGUCCGUCGUGGAGAGGGAAACAACCCAGACCGCCAGCUAAGGUCCCAAAGUAUUGCUAAGUGGGAAACGAUGUGGGAAGGCUCAGACAGCUAGGAUGUUGGCUUAGAAGCAGCCAUCAUUUAAAGAAAGCGUAAUAGCUCACUAGUCGAGUCGGCCUGCGCGGAAGAUGUAACGGGGCUAAGCAAUACACCGAAGCUGCGGCAAUAUCUUUUAGAUAUUGGGUAGGGGAGCGUUCUGUAAGCCGUUGAAGGUGAAUCGUAAGGUUUGCUGGAGGUAUCAGAAGUGCGAAUGCUGACAUGAGUAACGACAAAGGGGGUGAAAAACCUCCUCGCCGGAAGACCAAGGGUUCCUGUCCAACGUUAAUCGGGGCAGGGUGAGUCGACCCCUAAGGUGAGGCCGAAAGGCGUAAUCGAUGGGAAACGGGUUAAUAUUCCCGUACUUCUGACUAUUGCGAUGGGGGGACGGAGAAGGCUAGGUGGGCCAGGCGACGGUUGUCCUGGUUCAAGUGCGUAGGCUUGAGAGUUAGGUAAAUCCGGCUCUCUCUAAGGCUGAGACACGACGUCGAGCUGCUACGGCAGUGAAGUCAUUGAUGCCAUGCUUCCAGGAAAAGCCUCUAAGCUUCAGAUAGUCAGGAAUCGUACCCCAAACCGACACAGGUGGUCGGGUAGAGAAUACCAAGGCGCUUGAGAGAACUCGGGUGAAGGAACUAGGCAAAAUGGUACCGUAACUUCGGGAGAAGGUACGCUCUUGAUGGUGAAGUCCCUCGCGGAUGGAGCUGACGAGAGUCGCAGAUACCAGGUGGCUGCAACUGUUUAUUAAAAACACAGCACUGUGCAAAAUCGCAAGAUGACGUAUACGGUGUGACGCCUGCCCGGUGCCGGAAGGUUAAUUGAUGGGGUUAGCGCAAGCGAAGCUCUUGAUCGAAGCCCCGGUAAACGGCGGCCGUAACUAUAACGGUCCUAAGGUAGCGAAAUUCCUUGUCGGGUAAGUUCCGACCUGCACGAAUGGCGUAAUGAUGGCCACGCUGUCUCCACCCGAGACUCAGUGAAAUUGAAAUCGCUGUGAAGAUGCAGUGUACCCGCGGCUAGACGGAAAGACCCCGUGAACCUUUACUACAGCUUGGCACUGAACAUUGAACCUACAUGUGUAGGAUAGGUGGGAGGCUAUGAAGACGUGACGCCAGUUGCGUUGGAGCCGUCCUUGAAAUACCACCCUUGUAUGUUUGAUGUUCUAACUUAGCCCCAUUAUCUGGGGUGAGGACAGUGCCUGGUGGGUAGUUUGACUGGGGCGGUCUCCUCCCAAAGAGUAACGGAGGAGCACGAAGGUGGGCUAAUCACGGUUGGACAUCGUGAGGUUAGUGCAAUGGCAUAAGCCCGCUUAACUGCGAGAAUGACGGUUCGAGCAGGUGCGAAAGCAGGUCAUAGUGAUCCGGUGGUUCUGUAUGGAAGGGCCAUCGCUCAACGGAUAAAAGGUACUCCGGGGAUAACAGGCUGAUACCGCCCAAGAGUUCAUAUCGACGGCGGUGUUUGGCACCUCGAUGUCGGCUCAUCACAUCCUGGGGCUGAAGUCGGUCCCAAGGGUAUGGCUGUUCGCCAUUUAAAGUGGUACGCGAGCUGGGUUUAGAACGUCGUGAGACAGUUCGGUCCCUAUCUGCCGUGGGCGUUGGAAGAUUGAAGGGGGCUGCUCCUAGUACGAGAGGACCGGAGUGGACGAACCUCUGGUGUUCGGGUUGUGUCGCCAGACGCAUUGCCCGGUAGCUAAGUUCGGAAUUGAUAAGCGCUGAAAGCAUCUAAGCGCGAAGCGAGCCCUGAGAUGAGUCUUCCCUGAUACUUUAAGUAUCCUAAAGGGUUGUUCGAGACUAGAACGUUGAUAGGCAGGGUGUGUAAGCGUUGUGAGGCGUUGAG